rnacentral:rRNA from 1 species
GACAAACGCUGGCGGCGUGCCUAAUACAUGCAAGUCGAACGACGAAAGCCUUCGGGCAAGUAAGAGUGGCGCACGGGCGAGGAACACGUAGAUAAUCUGCCCUUCAGUGGGGAAUAACUCUCCGAAAGGAGUGCUAAUACCGCAUAAGACCACAAGCUCUGCGGAGCAAGGGGGUAGAGGAUUUAUUCGCUGAAGGAUGAGUCUGCGUCUGAUUAGCUAGUUGGUGAGGUAAUGGCUUACCAAGGCAAUGAUCGGUAGAUGGUCUGAGAGGAUGAUCAGCCGGACUGGAACUGAGACACGGUCCAGACUCCUACGGGAGGCAGAAGUAGGGAAUAUUGAACAAUGGGGGAACCCCUGAUGCAGCAGCGCCGCGUGAGUGAUGAAGGCUCUAGGGUCGUAAAGCUCUGUCGUAUGGGAAGAAAAAAAUGACGGUACCAUACAAGAAAGGACCGGCCAACUUCGUGCCAGCCGCCGCCGUAA